rnacentral:tRNA from 1 species
GGGGUUGUAGUCUAGCCUGGCUAUGAUUCGCGGUUCGGGGCCGCGAGACCGGGGGUUCGAAACGACGGUAUCGUCCGUCGACACCUGGUCGUACAUCGCUUUCAGCGAGUACACCUGAUGGAUAUCACAACCGAUGCUGUUCACGAAAGUCCUCCCAACCCCA